GAAAAAGAAAAGUCGUAGCUACGCAACUCUUCUGACCGGUGAGUCAGGCGCCCUUGUGAGGCGGCGGGCGGUAUGGGAAACGCUGUAUCAGCGGUAGAAAAGGCCACGUUGGAAAAAUUGGUACAAGUGGCAGCACAAACAGAUCGACAGGUGGAGCGCCAGGCGCUGGUGGACUUGCUGUGGUGGAGAAGGCGGCGCGGUUUGUUACGGGAGUCCAGCCAGGUCUUCAGCGCGGAAGCCUGGAAGGAGGUUGGGAAGGAACUGUGGGAAUCCAUCCAGAAHGGAGAAAAAGAGGCCAGGCGUCUGGCCAAAACAUAUCGAGACGUGCGGCUCAUGAUCGAACAGCUGCACGGGGAGGCACAGGCGACCGCUGCCAUACGGAGGGCACUGCAGGCGGAGCCCUCCGCGGCGGCACUUUCGCCGGGGAAUGAGGACGAGGGAGCGGAGUGCGCGGUGCCCGUCUUUGACACACCAUCCUCGGGGGGGCCCUCGGUGAUAGAUGAGCCCUCCCCGCCAUGUGCGGCACCUCUCUCUAAGCUAGAGCGGGAGGCUUGGGGGACUGGCACAGGRUAUGAGGACUUGCCACCGUACAAGAAAGGGGACGUUGCUGACGCCUUUGCCGCCCCCCCUGAGCCGUCCGCUCCCCCCAUGGAAGUGGAUCUGGCCGCUGUGCCAUUACCUGAGGAGGAAAGCGUUGAUCUGACUGAAUAUUCAAAAAAAAUGGAGGAACUGUUGGAGGAAAUGAGGAGGUUGGAUAGGGGGUCGAAAAAGGCGCAUGUGAGGGAGGCGUAUAAGAAGGCGCAUCAGGCUAUUGUGGACGGCCUGAAAGCGGUUGAGGAACGGUUCUCCGGGGAUCCUGCCGGCGGAUCCCAGGAGAACCAAGAGAUCGCCCCCAGAGACUGGGUGAUUACCAACAUACUCAAAGGGACGUGGUCCCUUGAGCAGGCGGAGCARCAUCUGCAAGCCUGGAAAAAAAACCCUUUAACACAAAAGGAAUAUCGAAUGAUUUUGGACCGUUUACCGAGAGCACCGGAGAAAGCCCUACCACCUAGGGACCCUGACUUUGACAUGGCAAAAAGGUGGCACGGGAUCAUUCAGAAUGCUGAACUGGUUGGGGACAUGCAGUUUUUCCCUAUAGUAGCCCCGGUGGUGACCACGGGUCAGGGACAGACGAGGUGGGAGCCUCUGGAUUGGCAAGUGGUAACAAAGCUGCAACAGUUGGUAAUGCAGUACGGGAUAAAUAACCACCAAGUGCAAGCGCAGCUGAGCGCCCUGGUAAAAUAUCAAAACCUGGUGCCGAGCGACAUCCGCGCCCUUGCCGAACUGAUUUUGGGGCCCACCUCUUUGCUGGUGUUUYUGAAUAAGUGGCAGGAACUGCUUGAUCAAUGCCAAUUAUCCAAUUUGGACUUACCGGCAGAUGACCC
rnacentral:lncRNA from 1 species